ACGCUUUUCCCUGUCUCUUCUCUUCUUCAUCUUCCUUCUUAAAACCCCUAAUCUCCAUUGCUUAUCAACGUCUUCUCCCAUUCCAAUCCAUGGUAACUCAAUCCCUUUGGUUUUACAAUCUGGAGUCUUGACUUCCAGCUGUUCCGAUCCAUCAGACGACUUGCCGUCUACUCGAAAGCACUCAGGAUUUUGGAUUACAGUAUACUAAAUUCUGGAGAUUGACCUGAUGCAUAACAAGGCUGAAUGGAAAAGUUUGGUGAUAGGCCCUCAAUUGCAAAAGUUCACGACUUUAAGCAUGUGAAGAAGGGCCCUCUUGUAUUCUUUUGGAUUAUUUCAUUCAUCAAUGAAAUCGUUUCUUAUAAAAUGAAAAAAAAAAAACCAUGUGAAGAAGGGCGCGAUUGUGUGAAGGGUAGUUAUUGUUGUCAGAGUCGAUCCUGUAAUUUUUUGGUAUUUAGGACGAGGCCCAUGUAAGGGAGGGUUGUUAUAGAGAAGCAUUUGUGGGAGGAGCCAGGUUUUCUUUUUUUCUGCAUUUUUCGGCUUGAACAUUAUCUUUUGAGAAUUUAGGAGAUGCAGGGAGCUCCCAAAUCUCCUUUGUUCCUUGUUUUUUGGACAGGAAACAGUUUCAUUGAUGGAUGAAAUAAUCCAAAGGAUAUUCAGAAACUCCCAAUCAUAGGUAACACAAAAGAUGGGUCCAAUUUGCAACAAGAAAAUCUAUGCUGUAGUCUUUGAGAGGGGGUGGGGGGUUGAACCUCUAAAUCCAAGGGAAGAAUUAGAGCGUAUGAGAUUUUAACAAUGUUUUAACGACUGAUUUUUACCCUCGGAGAGUCAUUCCGGGGGAGCUGAUUUUUGACUUAAGAGAAAAGUUAAAAGCCAGUGGAUUCUAUCAUUGACAAUAGUUGUGAUGUUGAUAUUUGAGAAUGGCCUUAGAAUCUCUGUUAUACAAGUUACAAUAGAUGGAGGUGAGUUUUUUUCUUUUAAUAAUUGAUGAUCUUACUUUUUGUGCCAUUAUUGAUAUUUUUCUAUAUAACUUGAAGCUUAUUGGCUUGUAUGCCUCAUCCCUAAGGAAGGAGAAAUCUAGAGGCCAGCUUUAGUUUUAAAAUGCUGGUUGUCAGCUAACAUUAUAACAUUAGACUCUUUGGAAUAAUGAGGACCAUGGAGGAAGGAAGUCCAAUGCUUAGAAGAAACCUCAAUAAAUGAAACUCUGGAAUGAACUUCUCUCCUGAAGUCUGAUAACUAAUAGAAAUGCUAUUAGGGUAGAAUUCGUAAUUAGCUAAGGAAGUUGUUAUGGUGAGGGGGAAAGUGUAGUUGGUUCAAGACUUGAUUGACCUCAAGGCCAAGUGGCCUCACAUGGGGGAGUGAUAUUGUAUUCCAUUAUAUUUUUAUAUUUCUAACACAUUUUGGUUCUUUCAGUUGUCUAGAAUAUUUGUUCCCGAGAUAAGUGAUUGGAGAAUAUUAUUUAGUGAAAUGAGGGGGAAAAUAAGAACACCGCACCACAAUAAAAUUAAACUCAUUUUCUUAGACCCAAAAGACUCUCAUAGGUACAUGGUAUUUUCUUUCUUUAUUUUAAAGUAAUUGUAGACCAUGCAAUUUCAGUAACAAGAACCAGAAAAGUUUUGGGUGAAUUGAGGAAUCUAAUCAUACCAAGGUUCCUAAACAAACACUAAGACCUUAUUUGAUUAAAACUUCAGUUCAGAUUAAUCUUUUUGAAAUUUAAGGUUGUUUCGUCAUCAUUUCUUUAUUGGAAAAUAAAUUUUAAAAGUUUACUUUCUAUAGUUCUUAAAACAUAGACAUUAAUUUUAAAAACAUUAGGUGGUAAAUUACAAAACAAAAAAACUCAUAGGUAGAAGUAGUAUCUAUUUGCUAAAUCUUUGAAAACCGAAAAUCAAAUGAGGUCUAAUUUGCAAUCAUUUGUAAAUUAAUUCUACUCUCAACACCAAGCACAGGAACUUACUGCUGGAAUUGAUCUGUAAAUUGAUUCUAUUCUGAUAUACUGGUAACUCUGAAGUCCUUAGAGUUGAGUUCUUAUAAUUGUCCUGGUAGCAUUCCCAUGCCUUGAUUUUUAUGCCUUUUAGUUCUCUUAUACCUCUCUUCUUUUAAUGAGAGAGUUCUUAUCUAAUAGAAAGAAAAGAAUGUUUGUGAUCUUUCAUCUCAUAUCCAGAGACAUUCACCCAGUUCUCUAAUUGAUAUUUGGAUUGUUUCAGCCUUCUGUUUAAUUGUGUUUUAUGACAUUCUACAGCUUAUUGUUCCUUUAUAAUAGAUCGUUAUUGAAUGGUGUUAUUUUCUGGAGCCUUUCUUUCUUCAUCAUAAUUGUUAUUUCACAGGUCCCUUCCUUUGUCUCAGUCAGUUCUCUUGAACGUAGUGUGCCCAUAAUUGACAUGUAUUUCUUUCCUUAACAUCAAAGGUUCAAAUUUCCUUGUUACCACAAUUGUUGUACUACAUGUACGUAUAUAUAGUUCUUGCCAAUAUUUUAUGCAAUAUGAAUGUGAUUCAGUUAUACUAGUCCAAAGUAAGAGAAUGACACCAUUCUUUAUAAGUUAUUGGUCUACAUGUCCAAAUCAUGUAAUGUGAAAAAACAAUUAGUUUAGUUACAUGUAAUUGACCAAAGAAAAAAAAAAAAACUUACAUCUUUGUUGAAGGUAUAUGUUUUAAUCCAUAGUUAUAUGAAAUUCUGUCUUAUUUUCUUUCCCAUCUCAGUAGAAACUAUAUCAAAUAAUUUAAAUUUUGAUUUGUCACUAUUUAUGAGGUAUAUAUUGUAUAUUUUUUGAAAAGAAAUUUUGUCAUGCAUGAACUUAUAAUUGAACAUUUGGUGGUUGUAGGUUGCACAAAGACAUGGUGCAAUUAGAAAUAAACCCAAUAUUUUUCUAUGUAUAUAGAGUGAAUUAUUUUGUUGUUUCUUGUUAUGAAUACAAGGUCAGAUAUCAAUGUGUGUCACUUAUGUAAUCGGUCCUACAUUUUAUGAUAAGCUUUAAGUGAGUUGUUAUUGGUCC